UUUAGUCAGGCAACGAGCGAGACCCACGCCAACAGUUGCCAGCUCGUCCCCCGGGAUGGAGGGGACACUGUUGGGACCGCCUCUGCUAAAGAGGAGGAAGGAAUGGGCAACGGUAGGUCAGCAUGCCCCGAAUUAUCUGGGCUACACGCGGGCUACAAUGGGUGGGACAAUGGGUAUCGACACCGAAAGGUGAAGGCAAUCUCCUAAACCCAUCCUUAGUUCGGAUUGUGGGCUGCAACUCGCCCACAUGAAGCUGGAAUCUGUAGUAAUCGUGUUUCAAAAUAGCACGGUGAAUAUGUCCCUGCUCCUUGCACA
rnacentral:rRNA from 1 species